AUUGAACGCUGGCGGCAGGCCUAACACAUGCAAGUCGAGCGGAUGAAGGGAGCUUGCUCCUGGAUUCAGCGGCGGACGGGUGAGUAAUGCCUAGGAAUCUGCCUGGUAGUGGGGGAUAACGUCCGGAAACGGGUGCUAAUACCGCAUACGUCCUGAGGGAGAAAGUGGGGGAUCUUCGGACCUCACGCUAUCAGAUGAGCCUAGGUCGGAUUAGCUAGUUGGUGGGGUAAAGGCCUACCAAGGCGACGAUCCGUAACUGGUCUGAGAGGAUGUUCAGUCACACUGGAACUGAGACACGGUCCAGACUCCUACGGGAGGCAGCAGUGGGGAAUAUUGGACAAUGGGCGAAAGCCUGAUCCAGCCAUGCCGCGUGUGUGAAGAAGGUCUUCGGAUUGUAAAGCACUUUAAGUUGGGAGGAAGGGCAGUAAGUUAAUACCUUGCUGUUUUGACGUUACCAACAGAAUAAGCACCGGCUAACUUCGUG
rnacentral:rRNA from 1 species